GAUGAACGCUGGCGGCGUGCCUAAUACAUGCAAGUCGAGCGAACAGACGAGGAGCUUGCUCCUCUGACGUUAGCGGCGGACGGGUGAGUAACACGUGGAUAACCUACCUAUAAGACUGGGAUAACUUCGGGAAACCGGAGCUAAUACCGGAUAAUAUAUUGAACCGCAUGGUUCAAUAGUGAAAGACGGUUUUGCUGUCACUUAUAGAUGGAUCCGCGCCGCAUUAGCUAGUUGGUAAGGUAACGGCUUACCAAGGCAACGAUGCGUAGCCGACCUGAGAGGGUGAUCGGCCACACUGGAACUGAGACACGGUCCAGACUCCUACGGGAGGCAGCAGUAGGGAAUCUUCCGCAAUGGGCGAAAGCUUGACGGAGCAACGCCGCGUGAGUGAUGAAGGGCUUCGGAUCGUAAAACUCUGUUAUUAGGGAAGAACAAAUGUGUAAGUAACGAUGCACGUCUUGACGGUACCUAAGCAGAAAGCCACGGCUAACUACGG
rnacentral:rRNA from 1 species